UACAGGGGGGCAAGCGUUGUUCGGAAUUACUGGGCGUAAAGGGCUCGUAGGCGGCCAACUAAGUCCGACGUGAAAUCCCAAGGCUUAACCUUGGAACUGCGUCGGAUACUGGUUGGCUUGAAUUCGGGAGAGGGAUGCAGAAUUCCAGGUGUGAGCGGUGAAAUGCGUAGAUAUCGGAAGGAACACCUGUGGCGAAAGCGGCUCACUGGACCAUAACUGACGCUGAGGCGCGAAAGCUAGGGGAGCAAACAGG
rnacentral:rRNA from 1 species